AUAAAAUGCAUUUGCUACUUCUACAACCAGUCUAUUACAAAAACAAAAUAAAACAAAACAAACGCCCCUUGCGUCGAUAUUUAGUUGCUUUCUUAAGGUACAAAGCAGGGCAACCCUUAUUAAGCACCCAGCAAGGAACAAGAACCACCCUUUGGUGCUCCACUCCAACCUGUAACGCUCUCUCUCUUCUCUUUCUCUCUCUGUAUUGCCUUUGCCCUCUUCUUCUCUCUUGUGGAAUUCUGCUGAACGCUGUGGUGCUGGAUUGCUGGAAGGCGGGCUCAUUCUUGGCAAUCUUCAUUGGCACUGUCGUCUACCUCAGAUCUUGAGAUUUUUGCUUUUUUUCAAGCGCAGAGAAUGGAUAAAUUGCAGUGGGGGAAUCGGAAGCGGCUGAGGUGUGUAAAAGUAAAAGACCCGUCUUUGAAUGGAAAAUCAGAUGGCAACGGCAGCGUCAGCGGCGGCGGCGGCGUUGUGAAGAAGAAAAUAACUUCCAGAGUGGUAGAGAAUAGCCACAGCAAUAAUGUUAAUAGCUGCAGCAAAGAUGGGCGUCCUCUUCCUCCAGUUCCUUCUCCUCAUCGCUCUCAUAGGGAUUUGGGGAUGAGUAGAUCUUCUUUGAAUGAUAAUCGAAAGGCUUCAACAUCCUUGUCGCCUGAGAAGGAAGACAGAUAUUACACAACAAGGGGGUCUGGUGGGCUUGAUGAUGGUUGCAAGGCAUUGUUUUCAGAUCCAAAGGAGGAAAAGAAAAAAGUUGUUUGGCCCAAGUUGUUAAUCACGCUGUCGAGUAAAGAGAAAGAGGAGGAUUUUAUGGCGAUGAAAGGUUGUAAACCGCCACAAAGGCCGAAGAAAAGGGCCAAGAUGGUCCAAAGAACCAUAUUGUUGGUGAGUCCCGGAGCAUGGUUAACAGACUUGUGCCAAGAGAGGUAUGAAGUGAGAGAGAAGAAGACUUCGAAGAAGAAGCCUCGAGGAUUGAAAGCUAUGGGGAGCAUGGAAAGCGAUUCGGAGUGAUGGACUGGUAAAUGCAGAGGCAAAGAGCUCGACCACCAUUAUUUCUUUCUCAUCAUCUCAUUUUUGGAAUAUGCAGAAAAGAGCAUACAAAUCCAGAUGCAGUAUUCGAGCAUUCUCAGAGAUGUAAUACUGCGAAAGUAAACAUAACCUAUUGCUAGCAAAAUUACAGGCUGCUUUUGGGACAGCAGAAGGGUCAAAAAUUACCAUCACAGAGGUCACAUUUUACAAGCAAACCUAGCAAAAUUACAGAUAAACAAUAGAAGAGCAGAGAAGGGAGAAUCAAUCGAGACUAA